rnacentral:lncRNA from 1 species
UCCGAGCUCCUACGAGAACCAGAUUUCAGCCGAACUCCUAUAGUGGAUGGAUCCCAGAUGAAUUUCGACAAUGGAAGGGCUCCACCAGUCGGAUCUCUACUCUGAACUUCUACCGCAAGCAGUCUACUCCGAACUUCUACUGUAGGUGAUCUACUCUGGAUCUCUAUUGUAAGUGAAUUCCAUCCGAGCCUCUACUGUAAACGAAUUUCUUCCGAACUUCUAUUACAUGCAGACUUCAACCGAGCUUCUUCAUAGUCGGAU